ensembl:snRNA U2 U2 spliceosomal RNA
AUCGCUUCUCGGCCUUUUGGCUAAGAUCAAGUGUAGUAUCUGUUCUUAUCGGAAGAUGGCAGGAGGUGGAGGGCAGGUGUCUUCUCGCUAUCUUCACAGCCAGCUCCAACCCCAC